AGAGUUUGAUCCUGGCUCAGGAUGAACGCUGGCGGCGUGCUUAACACAUGCAAGUCGAACGGUGAAGCCAAGCUUGCUUGGUGGAUCAGUGGCGAACGGGUGAGUAACACGUGAGCAACCUGCCCUGGACUCUGGGAUAAGCGCUGGAAACGGCGUCUAAUACUGGAUAUGAGGCGUGGCCGCAUGGUCAUGUUUGGAAAGAAUUUCGGUCUGGGAUGGGCUCGCGGCCUAUCAGCUUGUUGGUGAGGUAAUGGCUCACCAAGGCGUCGACGGGUAGCCGGCCUGAGAGGGUGACCGGCCACACUGGGACUGAGACACGGCCCAGACUCCUACGGGAGGCAGCAGUGGGGAAUAUUGCACAAUGGGCGGAAGCCUGAUGCAGCAACGCCGCGUGAGGGAUGACGGCCUUCGGGUUGUAAACCUCUUUUAGCAGGGAAGAAGCGAAAGUGACGGUACCUGCAGAAAAAGCGCCGGCUAACUACGUGCCAGCAGCCGCGGUAAUACGUAGGGCGCAAGCGUUAUCCGGAAUUAUUGGGCGUAAAGAGCUCGUAGGCGGUUUGUCGCGUCUGCUGUGAAAUCCCGAGGCUCAACCUCGGGCCUGCAGUGGGUACGGGCAGACUAGAGUGCGGUAGGGGAGAUUGGAAUUCCUGGUGUAGCGGUGGAAUGCGCAGAUAUCAGGAGGAACACCGAUGGCGAAGGCAGAUCUCUGGGCCGUAACUGACGCUGAGGAGCGAAAGGGUGGGGAGCAAACAGGCUUAGAUACCCUGGUAGUCCACCCCGUAAACGUUGGGAACUAGUUGUGGGGACCAUUCCACGGUUUCCGUGACGCAGCUAACGCAUUAAGUCCCCGCUG
rnacentral:rRNA from 1 species